rnacentral:sRNA from 1 species
CUCUGUACGGGAAGGAUGAGAAGCUUCGACUAAGGUUCGAUUCGAGCGCAGCGAGAAAGCGUUGCCGCAGGCAACGACCCGAAGGGCGAAGCGCGCAGCGCUGAGUAAUCCUUCCCCCACCACCA